UGGGGAAUUUUGGACAAUGGGCGAAAGCCUGAUCCAGCAAUGCCGCGUGUGUGAAGAAGGCCUUCGGGUUGUAAAGCACUUUUGUCCGGAAAGAAAUCCUUGGCUCUAAUACAGUCGGGGGAUGACGGUACCGGAAGAAUAAGCACCGGCUAACUACGUGCCAGCAGCCGCGGUAAUACGUAGGGUGCAAGCGUUAAUCGGAAUUACUGGGCGUAAAGCGUGCGCAGGCGGUUUGCUAAGACCGAUGUGAAAUCCCCGGGCUCAACCUGGGAACUGCAUUGGUGACUGGCAGGCUAGAGUAUGGCAGAGGGGGGUAGAAUUCCACGUGUAGCAGUGAAAUGCGUAGAGAUGUGGAGGAAUACCGAUGGCGAAGGCAGCCCCCUGGGCCAAUACUGACGCUCAUGCACGAAAGCGUGGGGAGCAAAACAGGAUUAGAUACCCUGGUAGUCCACGCCCUAAAACGAUGUCAACUAGUUGUUGGGGAUUCAUUUCCUUAGUAACGUAGCUAACGCGUGAAGUUGACCGCCUGGGGAGUACGGUCGCAAGAUUAAAACUCAAAGGAAUUGA
rnacentral:rRNA from 1 species